UACGUAGGGAGCGAGCGUUGUCCGGAAUUACUGGGUGUAAAGGGAGCGUAGACGGCGAUGCAAGCCAGAUGUGAAAGCCCGCGGCUCAACUGCGGUAGUGCAUUUGGAACUGUAUGGCUGGAGUGCAGGAGAGGCAGGCGGAAUUCCUAGUGUAGCGGUGAAAUGCGUAGAUAUUAGGAGGAACACCAGUGGCGAAGGCGGCUUGCUGGACGGUAACUGACGCUGAGGCUCGAAAGCAUGGGUAGCAAACAGG
rnacentral:rRNA from 1 species